GUCGUCGUGGCCGAGUGUUUAAGGCGACAGACUAGAAAUCUGUUGGGCUCUGCCCGCACAGGUUCGAAUCCUGUCGGCGACG
rfam:Ciona savignyi cont_32162, whole genome shotgun sequence.